UAAUAAGUGUUUUAUGGCACUUUUUAAAUCCAUAUCCACCUUGUGUGCAAUGUCGGUCGAUCUUCUUCAUGGAGAUCGACCAAACAUCAACCUUUAUCUUUUAACUCUUUAUCUGAAAAAUAUUAUGAAUAAACAAUUCAAAUA
rnacentral:misc_RNA from 1 species